GGUCCCGUAGCUCAGCUGGAUAGAGCGGCAGAUUCCUAAUCUGUAGGCCAUGGGUUCAAAUCCCGUCGGGAUCACCA
rnacentral:tRNA from 1 species